ACUCCUACGGGAGGCAGCAGUAGGGAAUCUUCCACAAUGGGCGAAAGCCUGAUGGAGCAAUGCCGCGUGAGUGAAGAAGGUUUUCGGAUCGUAAACUCUGUUGUUGAAGAAGAACAUGCGUGAGAGUAACUGUUCACGUACUGACGGUAUUCAACCAGAAAGCCACGGCUAACUACGUGCCAGCAGCCGCGGUAAUACGUAGGUGGCAAGCGUUGUCCGGAUUUAUUGGGCGUAAAGAGAAUGUAGGCGGUUUAUUAAGUUUGAAGUGAAAGCCCUCGGCUCAACCGAGGAAGUGCUUCGAAAACUGGUAAACUUGAGUGCAGAAGAGGAAAGUGGAACUCCAUGUGUAGCGGUGGAAUGCGUAGAUAUAUGGAAGAACACCAGUGGCGAAGGCGGCUUUCUGGUCUGUAACUGACGCUGAGAUUCGAAAGCAUGGGUAGCAAACA
rnacentral:rRNA from 1 species